CUCUUAGAUGUUCUGGGCCGCACGCGCGCUACACUGAUGCAUUCAACGAGUCUAAAACCUGCUCUGAUAGGGGUGGGUAAUCUUUUGAAUGUGCAUCGUGAUUGGGAUAGAUGAUUGCAAUUUUUCAUCUUCAACGAGGAAUGCCUAGUAAACGCAAGUCAUCAGCUUGCAUUGAUUACGUCCCUGCCCUUUGUACACACCGCCCGUCGCUCCUACCGAUUGAAUGAUCCGAUGAAUAUCAUGGAUUGAGGAUUAUAGCAGGUUCGCCUGUCUUGAUCUUCGAGAAGUGAAGUAAAUCUUAUCAUUUAGAGGAAGGAGAAGUCGUAACA
rnacentral:rRNA from 1 species